rnacentral:rRNA from 1 species
UCGGGAAUUUUGGGCAAUGGGCGAAAGCCUGACCCAGCAACGCCGCGUGAAGGAUGAAGUAUUUCGGUAUGUAAACUUCGAAAGAAUAGGAAGAAUAAAUGACGGUACUAUUUAUAAGGUCCGGCUAACUACGUGCCAGCAGCCGCGGUAAUACGUAGGGACCAAGCGUUGUUCGGAUUUACUGGGCGUAAGGGGCGCGUAGGCGGCAAUUCAAGUCAUCUGUGAAAUCUCCGGGCUUAACUCGGAACGGUCAGAUGAUACUGCUUUGCUAGAGUGCAGAAGGGGCAAUCGGAAUUCUUGGUGUAGCGGUGAAAUGCGUAGAUAUCAAGAGGAACACCUGAGGUGAAGACGGGUUGCUGGGCUGACACUGACGUUGAGGCGCGAAAGCCAGGGGAGCAAACGGGAUUAGAUACCCCUGUAGUCCCUGAGCGGGCUGGCAAGGCGCAU